GUCGGAAGUAAUAGAUAUAUAAUUUACAUUUAAUAUUACAUCAUUUCUAGAUGUUUUGCAUGAUGAGGCCGAUUUAAGAAUAUAGAAUUAUUGGUUACGAUAACUUCCGCCGCGCGGCAAGCGUUGCCGCGUUCUGUGUGCAGGAGCCAUAAAAGAGACAGUUUUCUCUGUUUAAAUCAGCUUAACUAGAAAUUAAUGGGCGACGUCUAAAACUUAAAUGGAUAUGAGAAAAAUGAUAAUUUGGUCGGUAGCACAACUUUACGCUCGAAAUUCCUGUCGAGUCGCUAGACUGUUCAAUGUCAGCGCGUAAGGAAACGAAUCUUCGAUCGAUUUGGCUCCGACAAUUAAGUGUGACCUCGAGAAAGAUAUACCCAAAUGGAAAAUAUGGGUAUAUGAGAGAAUUAGUAAGAACGUGGAAUGUUUAGAAGUUUCUUGUGGUAGGGGCGACCAAGUCCAAUCUCAUCGUAUAAAAGUCUUUGGAUCUACUGCUCCAAGAAGAGUCAGUCUUUGUUCGAAAACGUGAUCUCAGCAAGAUGGCGAUAAGAUACAUCGUGAUGCUAACUAUCAUGUUGGCUGUAAUCUACGUUCAAGCGGAGUCUCACACCGUUGCAGACGGUCAGAAUCUGCAACGGACCUUAGUUGCACCUGCGGUAUCAUCGGAAGUUCCACCGCUAAAACUGGAAGCAGUAUCAAGCGAAGUGUCAACCGAAGCAGUAUCAACCGAAACUCAAUCGCGUAACAAAAGAGCGCUACUUCUGAAAAAGGCCCUCUUAGGUGGUGCCCUCCUCGGUGCUGGAGCUUUAGGUGCCGGAGCUUUGGGUGCCGGAGCUUUGGGUGCCGGAGCUUUAGGUGCCGGAGUUCUCGGUGCCGGAGUUCUUGGCGGUGCUAAAUACUUUGGAGGACAUAGAGGAUAUGGAGGAUAUGGAGGAUAUGGAGGAUAUGAAGGAUAUGGAGGAUAUGGAGGAUAUGGAGGAUAUGGACAUAACCAUUAUCAUAGCCACUAUCCCAAUUAUGAGUAUCACUACCACAGCCAUCCCCAUUAUCAUACUUACCACCAAUCUGGUGAUGGACUAGGUUAUGGCUAUUGGUAAAGUCUCAAAAUAAAGUAUUGGUAAAGUGAGACUGACUUCGAAUCAAUGCAUUAUAAGUUCAAUCUAUAGAGAGGAAUCUCAUAAACAAAGUAACACAAAAAAAUUGAAAAAUUCUAACUCGUUCAUCCACAAUCGUGGUAAAAUCACAGCAGUGUGCAAAUGACACAGUCACUUUUCAAUUGCCUAUAUCUCCCUCAAAUAUUCAAAUUUUUUGGACUUUUGCAUCUGAUUUUGUUCAAUAAAGAAAUCUUAAUGAUAUAUUAAAAA